CUCUGACAGCUACACUUCAGCCAUACAUUUUGCCAAUGGUCAGUCGCCGUCAACUUCACCAACAUGGACGCUGCCUGUUUUGCUAUGAGCAAAUCCGAAGAAAGAGGACAAUUUCCCGAAGGGUUCAGUAUCAAGAUCAGCAAAAAUCGAAAGGAUGCAAGUAAAAUGUUCAUCGGGGACUAUCCCGUGAUAUCAGCGACCAACAUGACCACAGCCAUCUUUCCUGUAUGAACAGCAACAUGGCCAUCUUUGCCAUAAUCAUGGAACAAAUUAAGUUCGUGAACAGAAG
rnacentral:lncRNA from 1 species